UACCUGCACCUCCGCCACCUGCCUGCCCCCUCCGCGCCUCGCCCCGGGCCUGGCGACGCCCGGCACCGCCAUGGAGCUGGCCUCUCCUGGCGGGUGCCAGAGCCCGGCAGGGACCUGCUUUGGCAAAGAGUGGGGAGUCCGCUGCUCCCCCUUUGAAGCGCCACAGGAGCAGUGUGAGGGAUGCAAGGGGAUGACGGAAGACGGGUGCAGUGGGCUGCAAACUGGGGGCGCGAAGAAGAGGAGUGCCAGAUCACAUCAGGCUCUAAGAUACCUGAGGACUAUUUGUUUGCAGACUGCUGGAAGACAGAGACGGAAUCACCUAUUGGAAAGGUGAAAAGCAGAAGAGGACCUGCAGUCACUUGCAUCUUGCAGGACUGGUGCAAGUCCAUUGCAUAUUUCUAGGUGCAGUAACAGAAAAAUAAAUUCAAUUUGCAGACUCCUGUCAUCCUCCGGAUCUUUGGAUCAGUCUCUCAGCCUCAUUCAUUGCUUCUGAGAAUGAACUUCUAAACACCUGCUGUGGUCGAAACUGUUCUUACAUCAUCUCCUGAACACAGUGACUUCAAUCACAUGAAAUCAUGAGGUUAAUGCCACAGUCGAGACUUCAAAGCUGUUUCUGCAGACCUGAGCUUUUUUUUUUUUUUUUGAAAAUGCUACAGUAGCUGCUAGUUCUUAACCAACAGAAGAAUUACCAAAGUUGUCAGUGUUCUGCUUAUCAUGCAAUAUAAGAAGAUGGGAACAUUUUCUAGAAGAGUUGCAGUCUGAGUGGGGGUGGCAGUACCACAGGAUGAGUUCUCCACUUAAUCUCAGAUUAGUUUUGGUUUUUGUCUUUUUGUAUAAAAUGGAGAUUAAUAUCCUACUUGAACCACAUGACCUUUAAAAAGUCCCUUCCAACUCAAACUAUUCUAUGACUCUAUGAAAUGGUUAAUUGUGCUAAAAAAGGGAUUGUCACAAGAAAAAAAGGUGAUUACAGGGCUUACUAAUGAGGGUAAGAGAUCAGGCUGCAAGGGGAACUGUCCGCAGAGAGACACUUUGAACAAUCUUUCAGAAGGGGAGAGAUACUGAUACACAUCUAAAUGAAUUGCAUGGGUUAUGUGCAGUAGGAGAAAACUUUCCUCUGACCAGAAAGUCCCCUCUGGUUCUGUGUUUCUGAGUUGUAGGACAAUGAAAUUCUUAAAUGUUAAUUAUGCAAGUAGCAACAGCAACUAUCUAUUGAUCAAUAGUAUUAAUUAUAGACUGGAUUGAUUGGA